rnacentral:rRNA from 1 species
AAGUCGAACGGAAAGGCCCUGCUUGCAGGGUACUCGAGUGGCGAACGGGUGAGUAACACGUGGGUGAUCUGCCCUGCACUUCGGGAUAAGCUUGGGAAACUGGGUCUAAUACCGGAUAGGACCGCACUUUAGUGUGUGUGGUGGAAAGUUUUUUCGGUGUAGGAUGAGCUCGCGGCCUAUCAGCUUGUUGGUGGGGUAAUGGCCUACCAAGGCGGCGACGGGUAGCCGGCCUGAGAGGGUGUACGGCCACAUUGGGACUGAGAUACGGCCCAGACUCCUACGGGAGGCAGCAGUGGGGAAUAUUGCACAAUGGGCGCAAGCCUGAUGCAGCGACGCCGCGUGGGGGAUGACGGCCUUCGGGUUGUAAACUCCUUUCGCCAGGGGCGAAGCGUUUUGUGACGGUACCUGGAGAAGAAGCACCGGCUAACUACGUGCCAGCAACCGCGGUAAUACGUAGGGUGCAAGCGUUGUCCGGAAUUACUGGGCGUAAAGAGCUCGUAGGUGGUUUGUCACGUCGUCUGUGAAAUUCCACAGCUUAACUGUGGGCGUGCAGGCGAUACGGGCUGACUUGAGUACUGUAGGGGUAACUGGAAUUCCUGGUGUAGCGGUGAAAUGCGCAGAUAUCAGGAGGAACACCGAUGGCGAAGGCAGGUUACUGGGCAGUUACUGACGCUGAGGAGCGAAA